rnacentral:snoRNA from 1 species
UUUAAUGAUGCGGUAAUUUGCGGUUGAACCACCAUUGUGAAGCCCCCGCCUGGGUUUCGUAUGCAAUGGCUGGAUAAUGAUAGCUACUUUCUUACAUAUUCUGACU